rnacentral:misc_RNA from 1 species
GUGAAUCAUCGAAUUUUUGAACGCAAAUUGCGCUUCCUGGUAUUCCGGAGAGUAUGCCUGUUUGAGGGUCAGUUUCAAUAAAAAUCGGUGUGGUCGUUGCUUUUCGUGGUGACGCGCCGGAUUUGGGUUGUCUUGCCUUCGGUUAAGUGACCUAAAAUUUUGCAUGAUUUUUUCGUACGUCUUUAAAUGAUUUUACGUACGUUUGCGUUAUGGAAUACUAGGUACGGUCACCUUCAUGUUUCGCGCAUAUAAUUAUUCAUCAAAU